CGUAUAUUAAAGCUGCUGCGGUUGAACCGCUCGUAGUUGGAUUGCGAUUUUCGGCCACGGUCCUCUAAGUCAAGAGGAUUGGCUCUGCCGCCGUUGGUCAUGAUCGGUAUUGUCAUGCUUGUCCUUGAUGCUCUUUGCUGAGUGUCAUGGGUGACAUGGACGUUUACUUUGAGAAAAUAAGAGCGCUCAAAGCAGGCUGCUCAUAGCUUGAACGGAAUUUCAUGGGAUAGUGAAAGAUGAUCUCGCUGGUAGUGAAAAAACCACGAGGUAAUGAUUAAAAGAGACAGACGGUGGCAUUCGUACUGCUGCGUUAGAGGUGAAAUUCUUGGAUCGUAGCAAGACGAACAAUUGCGAAAGCAUUUGCCAAGAAUGUUUUCAUUAAUCAAGAACGAAAGUUGGAGGAUCGAAGGCGAUCAGAUACCGCCCUAGUUGCGACUUUAAACGAUGCCAACUAGCGAUUCGGCGAUGUCUUUCUAAUGACUCGCUGAGCAGCUCCCGGGAAACCAAAGUCUUUCGGUUCCGGGGGAAGUAUGGUUGCAAAGCUGAAACUUAAAGGAAUUGACGGAAGGGCACCACCAGGAGUGGAGCAUGCGGCUUAAUUUGACUCAACACGGGAAAGCUCACCCGUCCCGAACACUGUCAGGAUUGACAGAUUGAGAGCUCUUUCUUGAUUCAGUGGGUAGUGGUGCAUGGCCGUUCUUAGUUGGUGGAGCGAUUUGUCUGGCCAAUCCCGAUAACGAACGAGACUCUGGCCUACUAAAUAGUGACGGCUCAAUUUGCUUUGCCGAGCACUUCUUAGAGGGACAAGCGGCGGUACAAAGCCGCACGAGAAAGAGCAAUAACAGGUCUGUGAUGCCCUUAGAUGGACGGGGCUGCACGCGUGCUACACUGAUGGCACCAACGUGCGUUCAAGCCUGGCUUGAAGAGGUCAGGUAAUCGAAUGAAAUGUCCGUCGUGACUGGGACAGGGAAUUGCAAUUAUUUCCCUCGAACGAGGAAUUCCCAGUAAGCGCGAGUCAUCAGCU
rnacentral:rRNA from 1 species